rnacentral:rRNA from 1 species
GGGUUGUGAGGUUAAGCGACUAAGCGUACACGGUGGAUGCCCUGGCAGUCAGAGGCGAUGAAGGACGUGCUAAUCUGCGAAAAGCGUCGGUAAGGUGAUAUGAACCGUUAUAACCGGCGAUGUCCGAAUGGGGAAACCCAGUGCAAUUCGUUGCACUAUCGUUAACUGAAUACAUAGGUUAACGAGGCGAACCGGGGGAACUGAAACAUCUAAGUACCCCGAGGAAAAGAAAUCAACCGAGAUUCCCCCAGUAGCGGCGAGCGAACGGGGAGCAGCCCAGAGUCU